rnacentral:rRNA from 1 species
GACUUCGGUUCUGAUGGCGACCGGCGCACGGGUGAGUAACGCGUACACUACCUACCUUUAACAGAGGGAUAGCCCUGGGAAACUGGGAUUAAUACCACAUAGUAUUGCAUAUUUUAUUUUUAUGCAAUUAAAGCUCCGGCGGUUAAAGAUGGGUGUGCGUUAGAUUAGCUAGUUGGUAAGGUAAUGGCUUACCAAGGCUACGAUCUAUAGGGGGCGUGAGAGCGUGGACCCCCACACGGGUACUGAGACACGGACCCGACUCCUACGGGAGGCAGCAGUAAGGAAUAUUGGACAAUGGGCGCAAGCCUGAUCCAGCCAUCCCGCGUGAAGGAUGACGGCCCUAUGGGUUGUAAACUUCUUUUAUUAGGGAAGAAACCUUUUCAUUUAUGAAGAGCUGACGGUACCUAAAGAAUAAGCACCGGCUAACUCCGUGCCAGCAGCCGCGGUAAUACGGAGGGUGCAAGCGUUAUCCGGAAUCACUGGGUUUAAAGGGUGCGUAGGCGGAUAAAUAAGUCAGAGGUGAAAGCUUUCCGCUUAACGGGAAAAUUGCCUUUGAAACUGUUUAUCUUGAAUUAUGUUGAGGUU